AUUGAACGCUGGCGGCAGGCCUAACACAUGCAAGUCGAGCGAGCGGCGGACGGGUGAGUAAUGUCUGGGAAACUGCCUGAUGGAGGGGGAUAACUACUGGAAACGGUAGCUAAUACCGCAUACCAUCAGAUGUGCCCAGAUGGGAUUAGCUAGUAGGUGGGGUAACGGCUCACCUAGGCGACGAUCCCUAGCUGGUCUGCGAGGAUGACCAGCCACACUGGAACGGAGACACGGUCCAGACUUAUACGAGUGGCAGAAGUAGGGAAUAUGGCACAAUGGGGGCAAGCAUGAUGCAGCCAUGCCGCGUGUGUGAAGAAGGCCUUCGGGUUGAAAAGCACGUUCAGCGGGGAGGCGUUACCCGCAGAAUAGGCACCGGCUAACACCGUGCCAGCAGCCGCGGUAAUAC
rnacentral:rRNA from 1 species